UCCUAGGUAGCUCAGUGGUAGAGCAGUUGGCUGUUAACCAAUUGGUCGUGGGUUCGAGUCCCUCCCUCGGAGCCA
rnacentral:tRNA from 1 species